rnacentral:rRNA from 1 species
AUUGAACGCUGGCGGCAGGCCUAACACAUGCAAGUCGAGCGGAUGAAGGGAGCUUGCUCCUGGAUUCAGCGGCGGACGGGUGAGUAAUGCCUAGGAAUCUGCCUGGUAGUGGGGGAUAACGUCCGGAAACGGGCGCUAAUACCGCAUACGUCCUGAGGGAGAAAGUGGGGGAUCUUCGGAUCUCACGCUAUCAGAUGAGCCUAGGUCGGAUUAGCUAGUUGGUGGGGUAAAGGCCUACCAAGGCGACGAUCCGUAACUGGUCUGAGAGGAUGAUCAGUCACACUGGAACUGAGACACGGUCCAGACUCCUACGGGAGGCAGCAGUGGGGAAUAUUGGACAAUGGGCGAAAGCCUGAUCCAGCCAUGCCGCGUGUGUGAAGAAGGUCUUCGGAUUGUAAAGCACUUUAAGUUGGGAGGAAGAGCAGUAAGUUAAUACCUUGCUGUUUUGACGUUACCAACAGAAUAAGCACCGGCUAACUUCGUG